rnacentral:lncRNA from 1 species
GGACAGCACAAGCACAAGGAAACUUUUCUUUUAAUUAAAAUGUAAUUAAUUCAUUAGUACCCCCUGCCCAUGGCUGUCAUUCUUAUUUAAGGUGACCCUCAGUUGUCUUUCCAGGCACAGCCUGAGUCACUGUUCCUCAUGUCUCUCUAAUGAUUAUCUUACUUCCUCUGGCAACUUGGCCACAUCUAUAUGACCCAAAUGACCCAUAAGAUUUCUAAAAGAAUCUAGUUUAUGCCAUAGUCUUCUAUCAACCUGUGCUAUUUCAGAAAAAAAAGCUGAUUUGGGUCUUGCUUUCACUUUCCUUAAAGCUUUUCCAGAAGAUCCUGAAGAAAGUGAAUUUUCACCAGGAUGCCCCAAAUCCAAACCUAAGGUCUAUCAGAGGCACCUUGAAAAACUGGCAAUAGGAUCCAUCUACCCAUCCAGAAUGAUUGAAGUCCAGUGGCAAAAGUCAAGAUGACUGGCAAUGCUUGGGAUGCAGUGGAUGACCUCAAGGGCAGCUAGAUGGCAUGAUGGAUAGAGGGCCCCACCUAAAAUCAAGAAGAUUUAUCUUCAUGAGUUCAAAUCUCAAAUCUGUCCUCAGAUCCUUCCUACCCCUAUGACUGGGUAAGUCACUUAAUCCUGUUUCCACUUCCUAAUGUUACAAGUAUUAAAACUGGUCCAUAGGGAGAUAAUAGCUUAGCCAUAUUUACACAGGUGAUAAGGAGAAAGGCUGGGACCAAACUAGCUUCCUUGGAUUCAAAUGUAGUACUCUUUUCACUAAGACAUGCAACCGUUUCCUAAGUCUCUGAACCUCAGUUUCUGAAGACCUCUCAAUUGGUUUCUUUGUAAGAUGAGGGGGCUAGAAAACAUAAUCUUUGCAAUCUACUCUACUUGUAACAUCUACAAUUCUUUGAAUUUCCAAACAAGACAAUAAGAUAAUAGAUUCCGAUCCGGAAAAGGCUGUUAUGUUAGAAGCCAUGGAGUUCAAACAUCCUUCGUUUUUACAGAUGAGGAAA